GCUUGGUGGAUCAGUGGCGAACGGGUGAGUAACACGUGAGCAACCUGCCCUGGACUCUGGGAUAAGCGCUGGAAACGGCGUCUAAUACUGGAUAUGAGACGUGAUCGCAUGGUCGUGUUUGGAAAGAUUUUUCGGUCUGGGAUGGGCUCGCGGCCUAUCAGCUUGUUGGUGAGGUAAUGGCUCACCAAGGCGUCGACGGGUAGCCGGCCUGAGAGGGUGACCGGCCACACUGGGACUGAGACACGGCCCAGACUCCUACGGGAGGCAGCAGUGGGGAAUAUUGCACAAUGGGCGGAAGCCUGAUGCAGCAACGCCGCGUGAGGGAUGACGGCCUUCGGGUUGUAAACCUCUUUUAGCAGGGAAGAAGCGAAAGUGACGGUACCUGCAGAAAAAGCGCCGGCUAACUACGUGCCAGCAGCCGCGGUAAUACGUAGGGCGCAAGCGUUAUCCGGAAUUAUUGGGCGUAAAGAGCUCGUAGGCGGUUUGUCGCGUCUGCUGUGAAAUCCCGAGGCUCAACCUCGGGCCUGCAGUGGGUACGGGCAGACUAGAGUGCGGUAGGGGAGAUUGGAAUUCCUGGUGUAGCGGUGGAAUGCGCAGAUAUCAGGAGGAACACCGAUGGCGAAGGCAGAUCUCUGGGCCGUAACUGACGCUGAGGAGCGAAAGGGUGGGGAGCAAACAGGCUUAGAUACCCUGGUAGUCCACCCCGUAAACGUUGGGAACUAGUUGUGGGGACCAUUCCACGGUUUCCGUGACGCAGCUA
rnacentral:rRNA from 1 species